rnacentral:rRNA from 1 species
UUCGGGGGAAAGAAUUUCGGUGAGGGAUCGGCCCGCGUUAGAUUAGUUAGUUGGUGGGGUAAUGGCCUACCAAGACUACGAUCUAUAGCUGGUUUGAGAGGAUGAUCAGCAACACUGGGACUGAGACACGGCCCAGACUCCUACGGGAGGCAGCAGUGGGGAAUCUUAGACAAUGGGGGCAACCCUGAUCUAGCGAUGCCGCGUGAGUGAUGAAGGCCUUAGGGUCGUAAAGCUCUUUCGCCUGUGAUGAUAAUGACAGUAGCAGGUAAAGAAACCCCGGCUAACUCCGUGCCAGCAGCCGCGGUAAUACGGAGGGGGUUAGCGUUGUUCGGAAUUACUGGGCGUAAAGCGCACGUAGGCGGAUUAGUCAGUCAGAGGUGAAAUCCCAGGGCUCAACCCUGGAACUGCCUUUGAUACUGCUAGUCUUGAGUUCGAGAGAGGUAAGUGGAAUUCCGAGUGUAGAGGUGAAAUUCGUAGAUAUUCGGAGGAACACCAGUGGCGAAGGCGGCUUACUGGCUCGAUACUGACGCUGAGGUGCGAAAGUGUGGGGGAGCAAACAGGAUUAAGAUACCCUGGGUAGUCCACACCCGUAAAACGAUGAAAUG